AUUGAACGCUGGCGGCAGGCUUAACACAUGCAAGUCGCGCGAGCGGCGGACGGGUGAGUAAUGUCUGGGAAACUGCCUGAUGGAGGGGGAUAACUACUGGAAACGGUAGCUAAUACCGCAUACCAUCAGAUGUGCCCAGAUGGGAUUAGCUAGUAGGUGGGGUAAUGGCUCACCUAGGCGACGAUCCCUCGCUGGUCUGAGAGGAUCACCAGCCACACUGGAACUGAGACACGGUCCAGACUCCUACGGGAGGCAGCAGUGGGGAAGAGUGCACAAUGGGCGCAAGCCUGAUGCAGCAAUGCCGCGGGUGUGAAGAAGGCCUUCGGGUUGUAAAGCACUUGCAGCGAGGAGGCGUUACUCGCAGAAGAAGCACCGGAUAACUCCGUGCCAGCAGCCGCGGUAAUUC
rnacentral:rRNA from 1 species